rnacentral:sRNA from 1 species
GUAAGAGAUGUUGCAGACAGUUGAAUUGGUCUUGGUAAGAGAUGUUGCAGACAGUUGAAUGGUCUUGGUAAGAGAUGUUGCAGACAGUUGAAUGGUCUUGAUAAGAUAUGUUGCAGACAGUUGAAUGGUCUUGGUAAGAGAUGUUGCAGACAGUUGAAUGGUCUUGGUAAGAGAUGUUGCAGACAGUUGAAUGGUCUUGGUAAGAGAUGUUG